AUACGUAGGGUGCAAGCGUUAAUCGGAAUUACUGGGCGUAAAGCGUGCGCAGGCGGUUUUGUAAGACAGAGGUGAAAUCCCCGGGCUCAACCUGGGAACUGCCAUUGUAACUGCAAGGCUGGAGUGCGGCAGAGGGGGAUGGAAUUCCGCGUGUAGCAGUGAAAUGCGUAGAUAUGCGGAGGAACACCGAUGGCGAAGGCAAUCCCCUGGGCCUGCACUGACGCUCAUGCACGAAAGCGUGGGGAGCAAACAGGAUUAGAUACCCUGGUAGUCCCCGCCCUAAACGAUGUCAACUGGUUGUUGGGGAUUUAUUUUCUCAGUAACGAAGCUAACGCGUGAAGUUGACCGCCUGGGGAGUACGGCCGCAAGGUUAAAACUCAAAUGAAUUGACGGG
rnacentral:rRNA from 1 species